GACGAACGCUGGCGGCGUGCUUAACACAUGCAAGUCGAACGGAAAGGCCCUGCUUUUGUGCGGUGCUCGAGUGGCGAACGGGUGAGUAACACGUGAGUAACCUGCCCUUGCCUGUGGGAUAACUUCAUGAAACUGGGGCUAAUCCCGGAUAGGAGCUCCUGCUGCAUGGUGGGGGUUGGAAAGUUUCGGUGGUUGGGCAUGGACUCGCGGCCUGUCAGCUUGUUGGUGUGGUAGUGGCUUACCAAGGCUUUGACGGGUAGCGGGCCUGGGAGGGUGGCCGGCCACGUUAGGACGGGACUGCGACACAGACUCCUACGGGACGCAGCGGAGGAGUAGGUUACACUAUGGGCUGGAGGCAAAUGCAGCCACGCCACGUGCGGGGAGUGGGCCUUCGGGUUGGAUUCCACUUUCGCCUGUGACGGGGCGUGAAUGACGGUAAUGGGUAAAGAAGCACCGGCUAACUACGUG
rnacentral:rRNA from 1 species